UUAUGAUGCAAUAACUAUCUACUCUCCUCGUCGCGUGAUUUAGCGGGUGUCAAUACCUAAAGACACAUCGCCACUGAAAUCUAAUCUAACCACUACCUGAGUGAGGCACACUUGAGAUAAGUGGUAUAUUAAUAUUUGUAAUAGUGUUGUUUCUUUAAACUUAUCUUCUAGAACUACAAAACAUUAUCAAGGUUCAGCUAUAGAUCUACAGCGUUGAAAAACAAAAUCUCUAUCAACCAAGAAAGCUAUGUUCAAAAGGAAAUACAAAGACAUGAAAUGGCGACUAUACUCGUUAUUUGGUGUAAAGUGUAAAGACAAAUCGAGCGAGUCCCUGGCCAUUCAACCGUUCAAAUCAGAAGAAAAUGAAUACGUCCACCUUAAAAAGAACUUUCACCCAAAACACAAAGAAAGAUUGCGCCAGCUUCAGGACUUCAUGACUGCUAGAGUUGUCACCUUGAAGCCUGAUGAGUUUAUCCCAGUGCAUCCUGAUGGGGAUGACAGCUACGUCCAUAAAGAAGGUACAGCACGUCUGAAUCAAGGCACUUUCAACAAGAACAUUAAGAAUUAUUUUUUGGCCAGGUUGGCGCAGGAGCAGCAAGCAGACAGCAAAACGAAUGUAUUGUUGAUUUUUUUGGCCGAGCCUGGGUUUAAAACCAAGAACACUUUCCUUGAGAUAUUCCCCAAAACCUCAGACUGUAUAAGGUUUGAGACAAGCCCCAACGACUGUGAUCUUAAUAUAGGUACAUUUAAUGAUAAUUACUUGAAAUGUAAGGUACCUAUAGAACAAGUUGAAACUUGUUUAAAUGCUUUAAAAAACAAUUCUCGUCUAUGAAACUAUGUGGACCUAGUUGUGACCUACAUAUUUACCACAUUCAAUGCAGACAAAACCAUUGUCCCGAAACACUUUUCUGUAACAUUGUAUGGUAAUUUAGAACUAGCCUAUGCACUUGUAAAGUAACAAACCAUUGAUUUGGUAACUAGUCUUUGACUAUCAUUACUUCAAACUAAAACAAAAUUCAUAAAAAUGUUACAAAAUUUUGUUUGAAAAAUGAACACACAUUAAGAUUAAAGCAAAACACUCUGAAAUUUCAUUACACAUUUAUUAAAAACACAACCACAUCAUCUUGCAUCAAACGGUUUACAAAAGUACAUUUUGGAAAUGUUUUGUCUAAGUAAUUGUAUACUACUUUAAGGUUUUUCUUGCUCACCCUUAAAUUUGAUCACUUUGUUAAGGUUUGUACAUUUUUAAACAUAAGAUGUACCAUAAGUGAAAUUCCCCUUUCAAACCUUGUGGUUUAUAUGUCAUCUGUUAAUGAGGCUUUCUGUUAACGAGGGUGUCAUAAGGCAGCAAAUGACAAACUGCUUUUACUUUAACCCAGCUGAUGUCAGGUACCCAUAAGAACUGGGGGAACUCAGGAGGAGCCCUAAAGAUUGCGAAAUUAAAAAUCCAUACUUUACUAGGAUUCCCCGUGGAUCGGAAGAUAAGCGCUGAACCACUUAGCCAUGGCACCUACAAGAUGUACAUAAUUUACAUUCAUUCAAAGGAAGUCGUGGUUUCAGCUUUCUCUAAAUUUUUAUCAGUGUAUAUUAUAAUUACUUUAUAGAGAUUUAUUUCAAAACUUAAUGCCUGUUUGUUGAACCUUCUAUGCAAAUGUUCCAUUAACACUUUUUACACUCAUAGUGUUAUACUAAUGUAUUGUUUAUUAGUACUAUUACAAUCCAAAAGAGAUAUUUAAAUAAAAAUACAAAAACAAAAAGUGAAUUAUAAAAUUGGCAAAUAAAAGCUAAGUUACAGACUUCCUAAUUGUGAGUACGGAAAGACUACUAUUAAUUUACACCGAUUUUUUUUCCUAAUUUCCUUUUUAAUUUAAUUACACUGGAAAGUUAAGCCAAUUGAUUCAAUGGAAAGAUUGCUGAGAUCUAGGCAUCGGAAAAUGAUUUGUGUGAAGACAAUAAUGAAAAGAAGAUUAUGUUUAUUAAAUAUAAUUUUCUAAUAUAAAAUCCUUAGUGCAUUUUUUUUAACCUAGUCCCAAAUCAGUUCUUUCUAUUUAUCAGAAGUAUGUUUGAAAACUAUCUAUAGAGAGUGAUUGACUUCUAGUCGACUGAUUGACUUUUUAUAAAAAAGUAUUGGUCUGAGAUGACAUCCUGAAGAGGAUAGUAUCAAAGAUUCCAUUCAUUUUUAUUUAUACAAACUGUUAUUUAAGAUAUUUAUUUCAAAGCAUAUCAUUUUGUGCACAUUAAAAAGUCAAUUUCUUCUAAUUAAUUCUAUUUAAAGUUCAUAUGUGAAUUACAUUGCCUAAAUAAUAUUUUUUUGCAGGGUAUUUUUUCAAUUCAGCUUAAAUGUUGGGUUUUAAUUAAAAUGAUUUAUUUAUAUUUUUAUUUCAUUUUAUUGUUACCCUGCCAUAUUUUCUAACCAUCCUCAUAGUAACGAAUAAAAAUCACAGAAAUUCAUUUAAUUUUUUUUUAUUUUUGUUGCAUCACGCUUGACCUCACCCUCCAGAUUUCGUCAGUGGUAAUUCUGUUUAUUUUUUUAUGAUUUCCAUCUACUUUUGUCACUAAUGCUGUCGUUAAGAAGUACCCUACUGAGAAUUUGAGGUUUAAACUUUUAAAGAAGAAUCUCAGUAAAUGCAUUGAAAACUUCACUUCAAAUUUCCAUUUAUCAGCUCUUAGUACAUACACACUGUUACCUUUGUCACCACCACAGUUAUAACAAUCAAUAACAUACUGAUGUUUUUAAUAAAUAAAUACACUGAGCUAUUCAUCAGUGUUAGAUUUGACACACAGACUGAAUUAAUCAAAAGUAGAACUUGGCAUUAAUUGAACAGAUCCCAGGAUUCUCAGAUCCAUGAAAUAAAAAUAAUAUAAGUUGGAUUGGCCUCGUCACGUGAGAAGUUGCAAAGGAAUAGAUAGUAAAAUGCCACAGAGACAAGUAAUUUGAUAAUAAUAUUACAUUAAUUAUGUAUUGUAAAGCAGAUGUAAAUUUUUAAAUUCCAUUAGCAUUAUUUAUUCAAGAAGAAAACAAAGUUUUAGGGAACAUACAAAAUGGCUAAGAAGAAUAUUGUAUACAUAUACUUGCAAAUUAAAGAUUUUAGUUGAAAAAGAAAGAAUAUAUACAUAUCUUUAAUGGAUCUCAAUAAAUUAAAAGAUUUUUGGUUAAAAUAAUAAUCAACAUGAGAAUGACUUAUGUUUAAAGAAUUAAUAUAUAAUUUCAAAAAUAGUAUUUUAAUGUUACUUACUACAAGUUCAUUCUUUUAUAAAAAGUUAAAAGAUUGUAACUUAUUUUUAGGUCUUGAGAGCAUGGAAUGGUCAAUGGCUGUUUACACUUUAUAUAAUAUGUUUACAAACUUGCAAAAUUGAAAGAAAUGUAUCUCGGUAAUAUUUUAAAUAUUAGUAUCUUAAAUUCUUAAUGAUAAUAUACAGUAUUUAGAUAUUAACAAUAUGGUAUUCAGUCUUUAACCCAUUAGCUCCUUCUGCAGCUGGAAACGUUUUCCAGUUUUUGUCCUAAACCGUUUCUAAAAUCCCCUAUUCAAUAUACUUGAUUUAAACUUUAAAAAAAAAAGAUUUCUUUUAGACUCGUUGCAAGCGUGAUUACAAAUAAUUUUGGAGAUUACAGAUUCUAUUCAUAAUAAAAUUGGGAAGGUUUUUAUUUUUAAAAUAAUUUUUCAAACGAACAGGCCCAUAGCCCCAGUGUAUAAGCCCCCACGUGGGAAAAUGAGUAUUUUUGAACUUUUUUAUAAUCUAGUGGUAUUAAACGUAUAUAUUUUUUAAAACUAGACAUAUAGUUCUAUUUUUUAAAGUUAUCUGUUUGUUUAUUUGUACUAGAUCUUCAAUUUGAUUAUUUUUUGCAAAAUACAUAUUUUUUAGGAUUUUUUAAAUACGGAGUUAUCCCUCCUUGCUUAGGACUUUGAAAGGGUUUUUUUGAACCGGAAAUAGGAGCUAUUGGGUUAAAUGCUGAAUGCUAAAUGAAAACUUUCUCUGAUUCCAUGUAAUUUUUCACUUUAAUUAGUAUUUAACCUCAAUGCAGGAUUAAUAUCUCCAAUGACAUCGUAAAUAUUGUUAGAUGCUAGGAUGUUAGGCUUGAUACAAGCAUUGACAUAAACUGAAUUGUUUGGAGGAUCUGUGUCUUCCUUGGCUAUUUGGGAAGUAUUGUCUUCUAAAACAAAACAAAAAGAAAUAAUGAAUACUUUUGAUGGCACAAAUUCAAUACAUUUAUUUUAUAUGUGACACAUGACAGGGAUUCCACUAGAACAUUAUUGCAUAGUAAAAUGACAUAUAUUAAAUUUAGUGUUCUUUUUGACCAAAAUUUUUUUUUUUUUUAGUUUUACCUAAUUGCAUUUUUGUCCAUGAUUUUCAUGUGAAUACGUUUUUUUUUUUCACACACCAAUUGUGAUAGCUAACUGAUAACGACCAAUACAUUUUUUUUUGUUUGCUUUGUUAUGUGUAUUUUGUAUGGCUAUUGAAAUAGUAUUUAUGUAACAAAAACUUGUCAAAGUCUUCCAGCCGCAUUUUAGUAAGAAUUUUGUAACAUUUUAGUAAGAAUUUUGUAACAUUCGCUAUAUCAAAACUAAAAUUAUUUUUUUAACAAUUAUUAAAAUUAAACAGUAAAGUUUUAUGCUUCCAAUUAGUUUGUUUUAAAAUUUGAGAUAAGAAAAUGAACUUAAAAUUUAUUUUUAUGAUUUAAAAAAUGUUGAAAUAUAAAAGUAGUUUAUUGUCAUCCUAUUGAACACUUGUAUAAUAAUUCAUUGCCUAUGCAAAUGUCUCUUCUUAUUAAAGAAAUAUGUUUAUUGUUUCAUGAUAAAAACAAUUGAUAUUUUUUUAGCUAAUAUAUAAUUAAUGAUACUUAAAAUAAAUGAGAAAAUACUUGUCUGUAUACUUUUUUAGUCAAAGAUUGAUUACCUGUAAAGAAAUCCUUUAUUUAUUUAAUAUAUUUCUUAAUAUAAUUAAAUGGAUUUUUUUUUGUUGUUUCAACAAUUUUUCUGAAAUUAUUAUUUCAAUGGACUAUCUAUAUAUCUAGAAAACUAGAAAUAAGAUCUCACCAUUGUUGUUUACUGUUUCAAGUUGCACAUUUUGCGGGAAUGAAUUGUAAUCAUUGACCAUCACAUCUUCAAAUAUUAUACUGCGGCUCCUUCCUCUAGUAGAUCUAGUUGCUGAAAGUUCACUUGCUGUACUGUCUUUAGGACUGGACAAGAAGAAUAACCACAUUAAAAUAUUAUAAAAUUAUUGUUACUCAUAAUGUUUAACAGAUUCUAUAUAAGUUAAUCGUCAAUAAAAUUAGUCUGAUUGGAAUAAAUUUAAGACACUAUAUUUGUAGUCUAUGAAAAUUUUCUAAGGCAGAAUAAUAUGAGAGUACAUAAGCAAAAGUUUUAAAAAAAAGAAGAGCAUAAAAACAAAAAAAAACAAACAUUGAUAGCUAUUGUGGAGGAAUUUCCGCUAAAAGUACUAGAAAGCCAUUGUCACAUCAUUGUUUGUGACAUGAAGCAGUGUGAAUCACCGAGUAUAACUUAUUGUUGUGUUUCACGUGAGAGACAAGAAUUCACAAGUUGAAUUGUGGGUUGUUAAUCAUAUAGUCAAUUAGUAGACCCAAGAAGUAGAAGACAGACAUGUCUUGUUUUUAAGAUGAAAGUAUUAUUAGCUAUGUAUUUGAUGAAUUUAUUUGGAUUACACUAUUUUUUAUGUGAAAGAUUCUACGGAUUUCUUGAUGGCUGAAGUUGCCAAUAUAUUGUAAACCGUUUAUUUAUCAUAAUAAAAGUGUCAUCUGCUA